rnacentral:rRNA from 1 species
CAGUAGCCGCGGGAAUACAGAGGGUGCGAGCGUUAAUCGGAUUUACUGGGCGUAAAGCGUGCGUAGGCGGCUUUUUAAGUCGGAUGUGAAAUCCCUGAGCUUAACUUAGAAAUUGCAUUCGAUACUGGGAAGCUAGAGUAUGGGAGAGGAUGGUAGAAUUCCAGGUGUAGCGGUGAAAUGCGUAGAGAUCUGGAGGAAUACCGAUGGCGAAGGCAGCCAUCUGGCCUAAUACUGACGCUGAGGUACGAAAGCAUGGGGAGCAAACAGGAUUAGAUACCCCGGUAGUCCCUGUCUCUUAUAC